CGAUGCAAUCAGCAUGCUGAUUAAGGUUGCUUGGUUUUUUACUAAACAUUAACUGAAUGAAAACGGUUAGUCCUUGUUGUUCUGCUUGGGGGGCUUUGGUGAAGCAAAUGGACUUUCAGAACAGAGAUUGUCAAUAAAGGAGUUGUAUAUCAUUGAAAAAUAUGGAUUCCCAAUGGGAGCUGGCACAUGCUUUGAGUCCUGGAAAAGCUUAAGAUGCAACCUUGAGAUCUCAGCCGUCCUUGUUAUCACCAACUGAGAGGCUGCAAAGAAUCAGUAAGAGGCCACGUAGAAGCAAGAGGACAUGCUGCAUGAAGUCAUGCAGCACUCCCUUAAUGAAAAUCAAAAAGUGCAGAAGUGGCAGGAGAGUGAAAGGAGCGCCGGCACCAAAGCAAAGAGCGGCUGAUAAGCAUCAUGGAGCACCAAGAGGACUUUAUCCAGGCACUCACAGCCAUACAGGCAGAGCACUACCACGCCCUCCUCCCUGCAGCCCUUGUCCCAAAACUCUUUCCCUUGUGCCCCCAUGUCACCUCCAACCCACUUUCCUUAACAUCUGGGUUCUUAUCACCACCAGCUGCCUCCAAUACCUGUAGCUUCACCACC